AAUGAACGCUGGCGGCAUGCCUAACACAUGCAAGUCGAACGGGACCUUCGGGUCUCGUGCCGCACGGCUGCGUAACGCGGGGGAACCUGCCCUUAGGUUCGGAAUAACUCCCCGAAAGGGGUGCUAAUACCGGAUAAUGACCUCGUACCAAAGAUUUAUUGCCUUUGGAUGGGCCCGCGUUGGAUUAGCUAGUUGGUAGGGUAAAAGCCUACCAGUGCGACGAUCAAUAGCUGGUCUGAGAGGAUCAUCAGCCACACUGGGACUGAGACACGGCCCAGACUGCUACGGGAGGCAGCAGUGGGGAAUAUUGGACAAUGGGCGAAAGUAUGAUCCAGCAAUGCCGCGUGAGUGAUGAAGGCCUUAGGGUUCUAAAGAUCUUUUACCCGGGAUGAUAAUGUCAGUACCGUGAGAAUAAGCUCCGGCUAACUCCGUG
rnacentral:rRNA from 1 species